ACAUCCAGCGAACUUGGCAGAGAUGCCUUGGUGCCUUCGGGAACACUGAGACAGGUGCUGCAUGGCUGUCGUCAGCUCGUGUUGUGAAAUGUUGGGUUAAGUCCCGNAACGAGCGCAACCCUUAUCCUUUGUUGCCAGCGAUUCGGUCGGGAACUCAAAGGAGACUGCCGGUGAUAAACCGGAGGAAGGUGGGGAUGACGUCAAGUCAUCAUGGCCCUUACGAGUAGGGCUACACACGUGCUACAAUGGCGCAUACAAAGAGAAGCGACCUCGCGAGAGCAAGCGGACCUCAUAAAGUGCGUCGUAGUCCGGAUCGGAGUCUGCAACUCGACUCCGUGAAGUCGGAAUCGCUAGUAAUCGUGGAUCAGAAUGCCACGGUGAAUACGUUCCCGGGCCUUGUACACACCGCCCGUCACACCAUGGGAGUGGGUUGCAAAAGAAGUAGGUAGCUUAACCUUCGGGAGGGCGCUUACCACUUUGUGAUUCAUGACUGGGGUGAAGUCGUAACAAGGUAGGCGUAGCGAG
rnacentral:rRNA from 1 species